UACAGAGGUCCCAAGCGUUGUUCGGAUUUACUGGGCGUAAAGGGUGCGCAGGCGGUCGGAUAAGUCGGGUGUGAAAUCCCAAAGCUUAACUUUGGGACUGCGCCCGAAACUAUCUGGCUUGAGGAUUGGAGAGGAGACUGGAAUUUCCGGUGUAGCGGUGAAAUGCGUAGAUAUCGGAAGGAACACCAACGGCGAAGGCAGGUCUCUGGACAGUUCCUGACGCUCAUGCACGAAAGCCAGGGGAGCAAACGGG
rnacentral:rRNA from 1 species